rnacentral:misc_RNA from 1 species
UCCGAGUUGUCCCCGGCAGUCCUCUUAGAGUCCCCGGCAUUACCCGCUGGCAACUAAGAGCAGGGGUUGCGCUCGUUGCGGCACUUAAGCCAACACCUCACGGCACGAGCUGACGACAGCCAUGCAGCACCUGUGCAGCGGUCCCGAAGGAAGACUCCAUUUCUGAAGCUGUCCACUGCAUGUCAAGCCUGGGUAAGGUUCUUCGCGUUGCAUCGAAUUAAGCCACAUGCUCCACUGCUUGUGCGGGCCCCCGUCAAUUCCUUUGAGUUUCAGUCUUGCGACCGUACUCCCCAGGCGGCGAACUUAACGCGUUAGCUUCGAUACUGCGUGCCAAAUUGCACCCAACAUCCAGUUCGCAUCGUUUAGGGCGUGGACUAC